GAUGAACGCUGGCGGCGUGCCUAAUACAUGCAAGUCGAGCGAACAGACGAGGAGCUUGCUCCUCUGAUGUUAGCGGCGGACGGGUGAGUAACACGUGGAUAACCUACCUAUAAGACUGGGAUAACUUCGGGAAACCGGAGCUAAUACCGGAUAAUAUAUUGAACCGCAUGGUUCAAUAGUGAAAGACGGUUUUGCUGUCACUUAUAGAUGGAUCCGCGCCGCAUUAGCUAGUUGGUAAGGUAACGGCUUACCAAGGCAACGAUGCGCAGCCGACCUGAGAGGGUGAUCGGCCACACUGGAACUGAGACACGGUCCAGACUCCUACGGGAGGCAGCAGUAGGGAAUCUUCCGCAAUGGGCGAAAGCCUGACGGAGCAACGCCGCGUGAGUGAUGAAGGUCUUCGGAUCGUAAAACUCUGUUAUUAGGGAAGAACAAAUGUGUAAGUAACUAUGCACGUCUUGACGGUACCUAAUCAGAAAGCCACGGCUAACUACGUG
rnacentral:rRNA from 1 species